GCUGGGUAUGGUGGCGCAUGCCUGUAAUCCCAGCUACUCAGGAGGCUGAGGCGGGGGAAUUGCUUGAACCCAGGAGGUGGAGGUUGCAGUAAGUCAAGAUUGUGCCACUGCACUCCAGCCUGGGUGACAGAGGAAGACUCUGUCUCAA
ensembl:misc_RNA Metazoa_SRP Metazoan signal recognition particle RNA